AAGUGGGCGUGGAAAGAGAGCGGAAGCCGAAACUAGGCGGCUUCACAGAUCUUGCACUGGGUCCCUGUGCCUGCCUGCCAUCGAGGAUCCAAAAUCUAAGGAUGAUGCUCGGAGUCCCACCACAGCCUGUCAGAGUUCACAUAGCGAAACCCAAAGCGCCUGCCCCUGUGACAUCAUCUGAAUUCAGCCACCCUCACUACCGCCACCAGCCCAGGAUAAGGAUCAUAUUUCCAGUCUCCUUUGCAGCUACCCGGCCACUGGACCAAUCUCCAACCAGGCAGAUAAAGGGAUGGAAGUUAGAGUCUCGCCUGGCGACUUCCGGUAACAGCUUUGUGCCACUUUCCCUAGAACGAUCCUCCUGCCUCCUUCCUGCCAGCUCCAUGAAUUGUAAAAUCACGUUGGGCGUGGCAGCCAGACAGAAUAAAGCACCAAAUUAAAACAGGUGCCAGUGUCCCCAUGUCAUGCAGCGUCAGCAAGGCACUCUGCACCAGCCCCAGCCCCACACUUCCUAUCUCCAGGUUUCUAAAAUAAAGAGAAAAAUGAAAUUGCCCUGUGCCCCAAACUGUGGCUAUUUGAGGGUUUUCUAUUACAAGUAGGCGAACUCAUUCCUAGCCAGUAUAGAGGCUAAGCGGCCAAGGGGUAAGGGGAAUCGUCUCAAGCAGGAUGGACAGGAAGGUAUCCCCGAGGGUGUGACAUUUGGGCAGAACAAAAGGAGGGAGAAGCCAAGCUGUGUGGGCAAGGGUGUCCCAGGCAGAACUUGCUCCCUGUCACCUAAGCUGGCAACCCAAGCCUUGUCCCCAGGCACCUUCUGUUCUACAGGCCACGUCUCACCUGUCACCAGAACAGAGUUCAGAACAAAGGAAACCAACUAAGGACACACACUCCCAGUCUCACCUCUCAGGCUGCCUUCUGCAGUCUGGCCCACAAAGGGUUAAACUGCUCCCCCCCCCCCGCCCCCCCCCCCAAAGAGCUCUGUGAUGGAGCCUGGGGCCUUGUCUGGAAAACUGAUCUUGUGGGUUCUUUUAGUUCUGUAAGUCUGUGGUACUUUGUUAGGGAAUCCUUAAAGGAGAGGUUUCCUUUCAGGGAUAUGGUCUGACUGUGUAGCCCAGACUGGGCUCGAACUCACAAUCUUCCUGCCUGAGCCUCCAAGGGCUGGGGCUCUGUGAAGGUUAUGUUUUAUUGAGAUGUAAACUCACAUAUUACAUAAUUUAACCAUC
ensembl:antisense Hk1os hexokinase 1, opposite strand